rnacentral:hammerhead_ribozyme from 1 species
GUCCAGCUGACGAGUACCAUAUAGGACGAAAUGCGCGUUAUCCUGGAU